rnacentral:rRNA from 1 species
GAUGAACGCUGGCGGCGUGCCUAACACAUGCAAGUCGAACGGACUUUUAAUGAAGCCUAGCGAUUUAAAAGUUAGUGGCGGACGGGUGAGUAACGCGUGGGUAACCUGCCUCACACUGGGGGAUAACACUUAGAAAUAGGUGCUAAUACCGCAUAAGCGCACGAAGUCGCAUGACUUAGUGUGAAAAACUCCGGUGGUGUGAGAUGGACCCGCGUCUGAUUAGCUAGUUGGUGGGGUAACGGCCUACCAAGGCGACGAUCAGUAGCCGGCCUGAGAGGGUGAACGGCCACAUUGGGACUGAGACACGGCCCAAACUCCUACGGGAGGCAGCAGUGGGGAAUAUUGCACAAUGGGGGAAACCCUGAUGCAGCGA